rnacentral:snRNA from 1 species
AGAAGUGAGAGUAGUGGAGCUGUAACAUCGAUCACUCGGGUUGCUCAGGUUGAUCUGACUUGCCAAGGAGGUGUUCUCUUCCUUCCUUUCCACUCUAUGUGAGGCCCUUCUGAAGCUGCACUCCUGCCUUCUCUGAUGGGGGAUAUACAAGGAGCUGCACCCCUUUGUGAGAACAAAUUCCCAGGUGGUAGUGGAGAGAAUUCCAUAUUUUAGAAUGAAUCCCACAACCUCCACCCCAAUGUAGAAGCAAAACAUUUAAGACUGGUGAACUGUACUUU